rnacentral:rRNA from 1 species
UACGUAGGGUGCGAGCGUUAAUCGGAAUUACUGGGCGUAAAGCGUGCGCAGGCGGUUUUGUAAGCCAGAUGUGAAAUCCCCGGGCUUAACCUGGGAAUGGCAUUUGGGACUGCAAGGCUUGAGUGCGGCAGAGGAGACUGGAAUUCCUGGUGUAGCAGUGAAAUGCGCAGAUAUCAGGAGGAACACCAAUGGCGAAGGCAGCUCGCUGGGACGGUACUGACGCUGAGACGCGAAAGCGUGGGGAGCAAACAGG